rnacentral:rRNA from 1 species
AUUGAACGCUGGCGGCAGGCCUAACACAUGCAAGUCGAACGAGUGGCGGACGGGUGAGUAAUGUCUGGGAAACUGCCUGAUGGAGGGGGAUAACUACUGGAAACGGUAGCUAAUACCGCAUACCAUCAGAUGUGCCCAGAUGGGAUUCGCUAGUUGGUGGGGGAACGGCUAACAAAGGCGACGAUCCCUAGCUGGUCUGAGAGGAUGACCAGCCACACUGGAAAUGGGACAUGGUCCAGACUCCUACGGGAGUCAGCAGUGGGGAAUAUGGCACAAUGGGCGAAAGCCUGCUGCAGCCAUGCCGCGUGUAUGAAGAAGGCCUUCGGGUGGUAAAGUUCUUUCAGCGGGGAGGCGUUACCCGCAGAGGAAGCACCGGCUAACUCCGUGCCAGCAGCCGCGGUAAUAC